rnacentral:rRNA from 1 species
AUUGAACGCUGGCGGCAGGCCUAACACAUGCAAGUCGAGCGGUAGAGAGAAGCUUGCUUCUCCUGAGAGCGGCGGACGGGUGAGUAAAGCCUAGGAAUCUGCCUGGUAGUGGGGGAUAACGUUCGGAAACGGACGCUAAUACCGCAUACGUCCUACGGGAGAAAGCAGGGGAUCUUCGGGCCUUGCGCUAUCAGAUGAGCCUAGGUCGGAUUAGCUAGUUGGUGAGGUAAUGGCUCACCAAGGCGACGAUCCGUAACUGGUCUGAGAGGAUGAUCAGUCACACGGGAACUGAGACACGGUCUAGACUCCUACGGGAGGCAGCAGUGGGGAAUAUUGGACAAUGGGCGAAAGCCUGAUCCAGCCAUGCCGCGUGUGUGAAGAAGGUCUUCGGAUUGUAAAGCACUUUAAGUUGGGAGGAAGGGCAUUAACCUAAUACGUUAGUGUUUUGACGUUACCGACAGAAUAAGCACCGGCUAACUCUGUGCCAGCAGCCGCCGUAA